GGGGAAUUUUCCGCAAUGGGCGAAAGCGUGACGGAGCAAGACCGCGUGAGGGAUGAAUGCCUUUGGGUUGUAAACCUCUUAUCUCAGGGAAGAAUACAAUGACGGUACCUGAGGAAUAAGCCUCGGCUAACUCCGUGCCAGCAGGCGCGGUAAGACGGAGGAGGCAAGCGUUAUCCGGAAUCACUGGGCGUAAAGCGUGCGCAGGUGGCUUUCCAAGUCUGCCGUCAAAGCCCGAGGCUUACCCUCGGAUCGGCGGUGGAAACUGGAUCGCUAGAGUGCGUCAGGGGUAGGGGGAAUUCCCGGUGUAGCGGUUAAAUGCGUAGAUAUCGGGAAGAACACCAGUGACGAAUGUGCCCUACUGGGACGUUACUGACACUCAUGGACGAAAGCUAGGGGAGCGAAAGGGAUUAGAUACCCCUGUAGUC
rnacentral:rRNA from 1 species